GCACUGCUGAGGAGUCCCACAACAGGACGAAACGGCUGUACAGUGU
rfam:Schistosoma margrebowiei strain Zambia genome assembly, scaffold: SMRZ_contig0007989